CUUCUAUUUUUAAAUUUUACAGAUCAACUUGGCUUUGGGUGAUCUGAAGAAACUGACAUGCCAACUCAUAUUCUACCGUCCUCUGGGAGUGUCACUGGAUCCAGUAACAAAGUCCCUUGUAGACCGGUUGGUGUCAGAUUUGGUGAAAGAACAUCCUGAUCGUUGGGAUGUUUACCUGGCUGCCAGUGUGUUCAGCUUCUGCUGCAAAGAGCACCCCACCACCAGACAAAUCCCCCUGUCUCUGCUGCGCUGCGGAGGGACUCAGUCUGUCUCCACCUCACCAAGAAAGCUGCCUGAUAAUGGGAUAAAAGGAAGGACCUUUGUCAUACUAGAUGCCCAGCCACCUCAAAGGGAAGUCCGUGUGGAGUGCAAUCAGUGCAGUCAAUGGAGCACGGUCAGCCAGGACUCAGAGCUGAAGAGAUAUGAGGAGAUGAAACUUGGGGAGGAGGACUACACCCACACCUGUGUGAGCUGCAGAGUGGCCAUGAGCUGCAGGGUGGCCCUGGAGGUCAUGAGGGGUUAGGAGACAAGGACAUGAAGAACUGGAUGUAAAUGAGAAAGCUUUUCAAACAAGGACUGAAAAGAUGGAGGAUAUAAUAAGGACGUUGGAAAACAAGUGGUGGUGAAGGAAGAGAUUGAUGUAGGGGUGAAAAAAGGUUCCUAGGGGAAGAAGUUUGAACAAUAAGAGUUUAUAAUGUGUAUAUACUUAUACAUUUCUCAGUCAUAAACGUUUUUGGAAUGAAAUAAAAACAGAUAGUGUUGUUUUCAAGUUGUGUGUGCUCAAACAGUGGAUUGUUGUUUAAUAAUGCAUUUGGGCAGACAUCAUAUAAUUGUAUGGAAUUGAUUAGAAUGUAUAAAAUUAUAAUCAAUAAGUGUAAUUCUAGUCAGAAUUAGGGUAAAACAAUAUAGCUAAUGUAUGUUUUUAUGGUAUUUUAAAGACAGACUGUCUGAGCAAAAUUCGGCGCCGACCUGACCAGAGAUUUGGGAGAGAACGGGGAGGUCAAGGUCUCCCUAAUCUCUGUCGGCUGGGCAGUGAGCCAAUGUGUGCGUAGCAGGACAUUGUGUGCGUCUGUUUGUGUGAAUGUGUGUGCGUAUGGUUGUGUGAAUGUGGGCGUGAGAAGUCAGUAUAAAAUUAAUUGAUUUGUAUUCUUGACUUCAGAACGUUCCCGUGAAUAAA